rnacentral:rRNA from 1 species
CAACGGGCUUGAUUCGGGCUCGGCCCGAUCCUCCCACCCUUUGUGUACCUACCUCUGUUGCUUUGGCGGGCCGCGGUCCUCCGCGGCCGCCCCCCUCCCCGGGGGGGUGGCCAGCGCCCGCCAGAGGACCAUCAAACUCCAGUCAGUAAACGAUGCAGUCUGAAAAACAUUUAAUAAACUAAAACUUUCAACAACGGAUCUCUUGGUUCUGGCAUCGAUGAAGAACGCAGCGAAAUGCGAUAAGUAAUGUGAAUUGCAGAAUUCAGUGAAUCAUCGAAUCUUUGAACGCACAUUGCGCCCUUUGGUAUUCCGAAGGGCAUGCCUGUUCGAGCGUCAUUACAACCCUCAAGCUCUGCUUGGUAUUGGGCACCGUCCUUUGCGGGCGCGCCUCAAAGACCUCGGCGGUGGCGUCUUGCCUCAAGCGUAGUAGAACAUACAUCUCGCUUCGGAGCGCAGGGCGUCGCCCGCCGGACGAACCUUCUGAACUUUUCUCAAGGUUGACCUCGGAUCAGGUAGGGAUACCCGCUGAACUUAAGCAUAUCAUAAGCGGGGAGGAGA